GACAGAGGGUGCAAACGUGUUCGGAAUUACUGGGCGUAAAGCGCGUGUAGGUGGCGAGGCAAGUCGGGUGUGAAAGCCCUGGGCUCAACCCAGGAAGUGCACUCGAUACUGCCUAGCUAGAGUCCCGGAGAGGUUGGUGGAACUCUCGGUGUAGAGGUGAAAUUCGUAGAUAUCGAGAAGAACACCGGUGGCGAAGGCGGCCAACUGGACGGUGACUGACAACUGAGACGCGAAAAGCGUGGGGAGCAAACAGGG
rnacentral:rRNA from 1 species